UGUGCUCUUCCGAUCACAGUGUUUUGAUAGGAAGCAACUGAGAGAACAAACUUUUUAAUAUCCUUUUAGUGCUCCUUUAAUUCCCCUUUUAUGUUUAUAGUUUUUUUUUUCCCUUUAGUUUCCCUUUUUAC